rnacentral:rRNA from 1 species
GACCUCAGUUCAGUAAGCAUAUUACUAAGCCGAGGAAAAGAAACUAACAAGGAUUCCCCUAGUAGCAGCGAGCGAACAGGGAAGAGCCCAGCGCUGAAUCCCCCGGGCCUCGCUCGGCGGGAAAUGUAGCGUUUGGGAGGGCCCGUCAACACGGCGACUCGCUCACUGGUUCAAGUCCAACUUGAAUGGGGCCACACAGAGGGUGACAGGCCCGUAGAGCAGGAGCGGUUGUCGUGUGGGUCUCUCCUUAGAGUCGGUUUGCUUGAGAGUGCAGACUUAAGUGGGUGGUAAACUCCAUCUAAGGCUAAAUAUGACCACGAGACCGAUAGCACACAAGUACCGUGAGGGAAAGGUGAAAAGAACUUUGAAGAGAGAGUUCAAGAGUACGUGAAACUGAAGUGGUGUAAACGGACGAGUUCGAAAAGUCCGAAUGGUGAGAUUCAAGCUUACCGUGCCGGUGGCCCUCGGGUUCAGAUGGCGUCGUCAGCUCGGGCUUCGGUUCGGGUCAUACGGCGUCACUCGUCCUGGGGGUAUCUGUCUGGUGCGGUGGGCUGCACUUCUCGCCUAGUAGGACGUCGCGACCCGUUGGGAUGUUCCGUUCACUGGCCCUCGGUGGAGCCCGCGCCGGAGCGUGGCCUUGUGCCGCGUUGCUGUUUGCACGGACCCGGGGUGACCUGAUCGGCGCCCGACGGUAUCAAAGCUUGGGAAGAGGCCGCACAGAGGAUGCGUUCGAUGGCCGUUUCGGCCUACACUCGGACAGGCCUGCACCCGGUCAGCGGCGCUUCUGCUUUCGAUACUCGUCCGACCCGUCUUGAAACACGGACCACG